rnacentral:rRNA from 1 species
CCUACGGGAGGCAGCAGUGGGGAAUAUUGCACAAUGGGGGAAACCCUGAUGCAGCGACGCCGCGUGAGUGAAGAAGUAUUUCGGUACGUAAAGCUCUAUCAGCAGGGAAGAAAAUGACGGUACCUGACUAAGAAGCCCCGGCUAACUACGUGCCAGCAGCCGCGGUAAUACGUAGGGGGCAAGCGUUAUCCGGAUUUACUGGGUGUAAAGGGAGCGUAGACGGCAGCGCAAGUCUGGAGUGAAAUCCCAUGGCUUAACCAUGGAACUGCUUUGGAAACUGUGCAGCUAGAGUGCAGGAGAGGUAAGCGGAAUUCCUAGUGUAGCGGGGAAAUGCGUAGAUAUUAGGAGGAACACCAGUGGCGAAGGCGGCUUACUGGACUGUAACUGACGUUGAGGCUCGAAAGCGUGGGGAGCAAACAGGAUUAGAUACCCGAGUAGUC